rnacentral:lncRNA from 1 species
CUCAUAUGUUCCUUGAUGUUUUGAUCUCAUGGUACGACCUAUGAGAUAAACAAGAAUCAUGGCUAGUAAGGGUGGUGGUUUAGGUCAAGACAUUAUAUUAGAUGAUGAUGGUCAAUCAAGUGGUGAUGGUGGCUAGUAAAUGUUAAUGGUUGUGGUGUUAGUCGUAGUGAUAUUCUGAACUAUAUGUUGUUGUUGAUGUG